GGGCGUUCCAUAUCAGAAGCGGAGCGUAACUUGUUGAGUUAUCCUGUUGUUGUUAUGCAUUUGCAAGGUGAUAACGCGGUAGAUACAGCUAUCUGUAUAGCGAAUGACGUUAAUUUAAGAGGGAUAUGAUGUGCGUUGAGGUCUUUGACUCGGAUUCCGCUGCAAAAGAAGCUAUCGAACUAUGGUUCCCUAACGAACCAGAGAGGUUGCAAGAGGAAUGCAAGGAGCUAAAUUCUUAUCUCCGGCUGGCAAAGUUGUCAGUUCAGAGGAAAAUCUGCCCGAACACUAUUUUAGAAAUCGAGGAGUCGAGAUUGAAACUCGUGAAGUUGAAUGGCUAUCCUUAGAACAGUGCAUGGUCCUGUGAUUCUUCCUCUAAUGAAUCUGACAGUGCUGGUAAUCCCCUUGGUGUUGCUGUGGUUUUGCAAAUGGAAGAAGACCAGACAAAGUACCUGCUUAACUCAGAAUUUCUGGUUGACAAGAGGCUCUUCUACAUUAGUGAUAAUUGGCAAACGGCUUGGUAGUUGUGUGAUAUGUAUUUCCCUUUAGGCUUUGCUUUAUGGAAGGAUCAGAAGCGCCAGCCUACACUUGAGGCAAGUUUGAUUAGGCUUCUUUAGCUCUGAUCUUUUGCUGUGGCAAAAUUUAUGUCUGUACUCGAGUCACUGCUACUCUGUUGUAAAUAAUAGAGUUAAUGAUAGUGAUAAUGGGUCAAACAUUGUUCUGUUGGGAAGGAACA